AGUCGAACGGUGAAGCGAGAGCUUGCUCUCGUGGAUCAGUGGCGAACGGGUGAGUAACACGUGAGUAACCUGCCCCAGACUCUGGGAUAAGCCUUGGAAACGAGGUCUAAUACCGGAUACGAGACGAGAUCGCAUGGUCAUCGUCUGGAAAGAAUUUCGGUCUGGGAUGGACUCGCGGCCUAUCAGCUUGUUGGUGAGGUAAUGGCUCACCAAGGCGACGACGGGUAGCCGGCCUGAGAGGGCGACCGGCCACACUGGAACUGAGACACGGUCCAGACUCCUACGGGAGGCAGCAGUGGGGAAUAUUGCACAAUGGGCGCAAGCCUGAUGCAGCGACGCCGCGUGGGGGAUGAAGGCCUUCGGGUUGUAAACCCCUUUCAGCAGGGAAGAAGCGAAAGUGACGGUACCUGCAGAAGAAGCGCCGGCUAACUACGUGCCAGCAGCCGCGGUAAUACGUAGGGCGCAAGCGUUGUCCGGAAUUAUUGGGCGUAAAGAGCUCGUAGGCGGUCUGUCGCGUCUGCUGUGAAAACCCGAGGCUCAACCUCGGGCCUGCAGUGGGUACGGGCAGACUAGAGUGUGGUAGGGGAGACUGGAAUUCCUGGUGUAGCGGUGGAAUGCGCAGAUAUCAGGAGGAACACCAAUGGCGAAGGCAGGUCUCUGGGCCACUACUGACGCUGAGGAGCGAAAGCAUGGGGAGCGAACAGGAUUAGAUACCCUGGUAGUCCAUGCCGUAA
rnacentral:rRNA from 1 species